AUACGUAGGAUGCAAGCGUUAUCCGGAUUUAUUGGGUUUAAAGGGUGCGUAGGCGGAUGAUUAAGCGUGAGGUGAAAUGCCACUGCUCAACAGUGGAACUGCCUCGCGAACUGGUUGUCUUGAAUGCUCCUGCCGUGGGAGGAAUGUGUGGUGUAGCGGUGAAAUGCAUAGAGAUCACACAGAACACCGAUUGCGAAGGCAGCUCACGAAGGGGUGAUUGACGCUGAGGCACGAAAGCGUGGGGAUCAAACAGGAUUAGAUACCCUGGUAGUCCACGCAGUAAACGAUGAUAACUAACCGCUGGGUCGUAGUGAUUCAGUGGCCAAGCGAAAGCGAUAAGUUAUCCACCUGGGGAGUACGACCGCAAGGUUGAAACUCAAAUGAAUUGGCGGGG
rnacentral:rRNA from 1 species